rnacentral:rRNA from 1 species
UACGUAGGGUGCAAGCGUUAAUCGGAAUUACUGGGCGUAAAGCGUGCGCAGGCGGCUUUGCAAGACAGAUGUGAAAUCCCCGGGCUUAACCUGGGAACUGCAUUUGUGACUGCAUGGCUGGAGUGCGGCAGAGGGGGAUGGAAUUCCGCGUGUAGCAGUGAAAUGCGUAGAUAUGCGGAGGAACACCGAUGGCGAAGGCAAUCCCCUCGGGCCUGCACUGACGCUCAUGCAC